CAGCUGUUUGACAGUAGGCAGGUUACCUCACUUCUCAGUUUAGAUAUCUCCUCUAUGAAAUGGAAGGAAUAAUACCAACCUCACAGAUUUCUUAUGAAGAUCAAACAAGAUAAUCCAUCCAACCUCUCUGGGCCUGGAUCCUGCUCCCAUAAAUGAGCCUUCUGCAGCCUGGCCACAUGUAGCCAACCCUCCUUUACCCUUAUCUACUCAGACCUUGGAAUAUCUCUUACCUGGCACCAACUGAUGCCAUAACCAUAACAGAGGUUGCUAUCAUUUAGACUCUGCUUUAGACACUUACCCCAGGUUUAAACUCUCAUAUAGGACAGUUCCUCCAAACCCCAUCCUGAGUCCCUCACAUAAGCCAUUGUCUCUUGCUCACUAGCCGUUCUGCCAACUCAGAAAACUGUAGUCCCAUUUUGCCUCAGGCCAUACGCUUAGGAAUUUAAGAGGCUCAAUAAAAGCAAUGGUCUUGGCAUGUAUUUUCCAGAAAAUAUUUACUGUCAGUAAAGGAUGAAGUUUCUCUGAGAUUUUAGAGUGAGACGUGGGUGGCAUUAUAUAGGAACCAGCCCAGAAGCAAUAAGGCAAUCAGUGGAGAGGUAAGCUUGCUCCCAGCUGGACGUAGGAUUCCAUGUCCAGAGUCCAUGGCUGAUUAUUACAGGGGACCAAGACUAGGGAAGAGAAAAUUGUCAGGAAGUUCACAGAGACUUCAGGAAAUAGGUCAACUGCCAUCCUUACCUCUCCUUUACCAGGAGGAGACUAAAAAUCCACAAUCAGGUCUACAGAAGUACACAAUAGAUCCACUGUAGCUGUAGGAAUCAAGACUCAGGCUCCAGGAAAGUGGAGUGGCACCAUGGCUUCAGGAACACCAAGAGUCAGAGUUGGUUUGCAGAACCACAUUCUUCUGGGAGUUCUACAACAGUCUUGCCUCCUUCACUGCACCCAGGGAGAAGAAAGGCUGGCAGAAGCAAAGCAACAAGCAAAGAGAACCCUGAUAAGAGCAUGGAGCAGGGCAGGCCUUCUCCAACAGAGGUUGAACUUUGAGACCCAAAUGUAAUGGAGUCAAGUAGGCAUUCUGGCUUCCCCCCAGGGCCCCUCAAGGAUAACUCUACCUGAUAGAAUCCCUGAAGCCUUUGAGCCUCUCUAUGACCUCUGACAACGGCUUCUUCCAAGCUCCCAUUGGAACUUGCAUAAGAGCAGCUACACUGGUUGAAUGGAGUCAAUAUGCCUGGGAAGGAGGGAGGCAGCUGUAACUGGAAGUUCACUAGAAAAACUGGGAUAGGGAUACAGUGUGGACAAGAGCUAAGAGAAGACCCAAGGAUAACUGUCAAAUCUGACAUUCUAUUACUUGUUCUAAAAGAUGACUAUCUACAAAUCAUCCCUAGGAUACCCAAGUUCACAAUAUUGCUUAAUGCAAUUAAAAAGAAGUAACACUCUA